rnacentral:rRNA from 1 species
CGCCCUUAGUUGCCAGCAUUUAGUUGGGCACUCUAAGGGGACUGCCGGUGAUAAGCCGAGAGGAAGGUGGGGAUGACGUCAAGUCCUCAUGGCCCUUACGGGGCUGGGCGUACACACGUGCUACAAUGGUGGUGACAUGGGCAGCGAGCACGCGAGUGUGAGCUAAUCUCCAAAAGCCAUCUCAGUUCGGAUUGCACUCUGCAACUCGAGUGCAUGAAGUUGGAAUCGCUAGUAAUCGCGGAUCAGCAUGCCGCGGUGAAUACGUUCCCGGGCCUU